CCUACGGGAGGCAGCAGUGAGGAAUAUUGGUCAAUGGGCGAGAGCCUGAACCAGCCAAGCCGCGUGAGGGAGUACUGCCCUAUGGGUUGUAAACCUCUUUUGUCGGGGAGCAAAAGCCGGACGUGUCCGGCUGCGAGAGUUCCCUAAGAAAAAGCAUUGGCUAACUCCGGUCCAGCAGCCGGGGUAAUUAGGAGGAUGCGAGCGUUAUCCGGAUUUAUUGGGUUUUACGGGUUCGCAGGCGGAUUUUUAAGUCAGCGGUAAAAUCGUGGGGCUCAACCCCGUCCAGCCGUUGAAACUGGGGAUCUAGAGUGUGCGAGAGGUAUGCGGAAUGCGUGGUGUAGCGGUGAAAUGCAUAGAUAUCACGCAGAACCCCGAUUGCGAAGGCAGCAUACCGGUGCACAACUGACGCUCAGGCACGAAAGCGUGGGGAGCAAACAGGAUUAGAUACCCUUGUAGUC
rnacentral:rRNA from 1 species